rnacentral:rRNA from 1 species
AUUGAACGCUGGCGGCAGGCCUAACACAUGCAAGUCGAGCGGUAGCACAGAGAGCUUGCUCUCGGGUGACGAGCGGCGGACGGGUGAGUAAUGUCUGGGAAACUGCCUGAUGGAGGGGGAUAACUACUGGAAACGGUAGCUAAUACCGCAUAACGUCGCAAGACCAAAGAGGGGGACCUUCGGGCCUCUUGCCAUCAAAUGUGCCCAGAUGGGAUUAGCUAGUAGGUGGGGUAACGGCGCACCUAGGCGACGAUCCCUAGCUGGUGUGAGAGGAUGACCAGCCCCCAUGGAACUGCGACAAGGUCCAGACUCCUAAGGGAGGCAGCAGUGGGGAAUAUUGCACCAUGGGCGCAAGCCUGAUGCAGCCAUGCCGCGUGUAUGAAGAAGGCCUUCGGGUUGUAAAGUACUUUCAGCGGGGAGGAAGGUGUUGAGGUUAAUAACCUCAGCAAUUGACGUUACCCGCAGAAGAAGGACCGGCUAACUCCGUGCCAGCCGCCGCAGUAAUAC